rnacentral:tRNA from 1 species
GGACCCGUAGCCUAGCGGAUAUGGCGGCAGCCUUCUAUUGUGUACAGAAGAUAGCUGCAGAUCGGGGGUUCGAAUCCCUCCGGGUCCG